rnacentral:rRNA from 1 species
GACGAACGCUGGCGGCGUGCUUAACACAUGCAAGUCGAACGGAAAGGCCCUGCUUUUGUGGGGUGCUCGAGUGGCGAACGGGUGAGUAACACGUGAGUAACCUGCCCUUGACUUUGGGAUAACUUAAGGAAACUGGGGCUAAUACCGGAUAGGAGCUCCUGCUGCAUGGUGGGGGUUGGAAAGUUUCGGCGGUUGGGGAUGGACUCGCGGCUUAUCAGCUUGUUGGUGGGGUAGUGGCUUACCAAGGCUUUGACGGGUAGCCGGCCUGGGAGGGUGACCGGCCACAUUGGGACUGGGAUACGGCCCAGACUCCUACGGGAGGCAACAGUGGGGAAUAUUGCACGAUGGGCGGAAGCCUGAUGCAGCAACGCCGCGUGCGGGAUGACGUCCUUCGGGUUGUAAACCGCUUUCGCCUGUGACGAAGCGUGAGUGACGGUAAUGGGUAAAGAAGCACCGGCUAACUACGUG